UACGAAGGGGGCAAGCGUUGUUCGGAAUUACUGGGCGUAAAGGGCGCGUAGGCGGCCCUUGAAGUCAGGCGUGAAAGCCCCGGGCUCAACCUGGGAAUUGCGUUUGAUACUCGAGGGCUUGAGGACGGGAGAGGAGAGUGGAAUUCCCAGUGUAGAGGUGAAAUUCGUAGAUAUUGGGAAGAACACCGGUGGCGAAGGCGGCUCUCUGGACCGUUACUGACGCUGAGGCGCGAAAGCGUGGGGAGCAAACAGG
rnacentral:rRNA from 1 species